CUACGGGGGGCUCCAGUGAGGAAUAUUGCACAAUGGGGGGAACCCUGAUGCAGCAACGCCGCGUGGAGGAUGACGCAUUUCGGUGUGUAAACUCCUUUUAUAUGUCAAGAAAAUGACGGUAGCAUAUGAAUAAGCACCGGCUAACUCCGUGCCAGCAGCCGCGGUAAUACGGAGGGUGCAAGCGUUACUCGGAAUCACUGGGCGUAAAGGACGCGUAGGCGGGCUUGUAAGUCAGGUGUGAAAUCCUACAGCUUAACUGUAGAACUGCACUUGAAACUACGAGCCUAGAGUAUGGGAGGGGGAGAUGGAAUUAGUGGUGUAGGGGUAAAAUCCGUGGAUAUCACUAGGAAUACCUAAAGCGAAGGCGAUCUCCUGGAACAUUACUGACGCUAAGGCGUGAAAGCGUGGGGAGCAAACAGGAUUAGAUACCCCGGUAGUC
rnacentral:rRNA from 1 species